ACAAGGGUGAUCUCAAGAUGAUUCCCCACUCCGGAACUCUGAGUGCAGAAGGUGGGGGCCCGCAAGGAUUCUAAAAAUUAAUACUGGACACUCCAGGCUGGUAUUAAACUCCCAAGGUCACAGUUUCUCUCUGACCUUGGAUG